rnacentral:rRNA from 1 species
AGAGUUUGAUCCUGGCUCAGAGCGAACGCUGGCGGCAGGCCUAACACAUGCAAGUCGAGCGCCGUAGCAAUACGGAGCGGCAGACGGGAGAGUAACACGUGGGAACGUGCCCUUCAGUUCGGAACAACCCAGGGAAAACUUGGGCUAAUACCGGAUACGUCCGAAAGGAGAAAGAUUUAUCGCUGAAGGAUCGGCCCGCGUUCUGAUUAGCUAGUUGGUGAGGUAACGGCUCACCAAGGCGACGAAUCAGUAGCUGGUCUGAGAGGAUGAUCAGCCUCACUGGGACUGAGACACGGCCCAGAACUCCUACGGGAGGCAGCAGUGGGGAAUAUUGGACAAUGGGCGCAAGCCUGAUCCAGCCAUGCCGCGUGGAUGAUGAAGGCCCUAGGGUUGUAAAGUCCUUUCGGCGGGGAAGAUAAUGACGGUACCCGCAGAAGAAGCCC